AGAGUUUGAUCAUGGCUCAGGAUGAACGCUAGCUACAGGCUUAACACAUGCAAGUCGAGGGGAAACGACAUCGAAAGCUUGCUUUUGAUGGGCGUCGACCGGCGCACGGGUGAGUAACGCGUAUCCAACCUGCCCACCACUUGGGGAUAACCUUGCGAAAGUAAGACUAAUACCCAAUGAUAUCUCUAGAAGACAUCUGAAAGAGAUUAAAGAUUUAUCGGUGAUGGAUGGGGAUGCGUCUGAUUAGCUUGGUUGGCGGGGUAACGGCCACCGAGGCUACGAUCAGUAGGGGUUCUGAGAGGAACGGUCCCCACAUUGGAACUGAGACACGGUACCAACUCCGUACGGGAGGCA
rnacentral:rRNA from 1 species